GCACAGCGGUGAGCAUGUGUUUAAUUCGACGCAACGCGAAGAACCUUACCGAGGGCUUGACAUCCCCUGACCGCGUAUGAAAGCACGUUUUCACCUCGGGUGACAGGGAGACAGGUGGUGCAUGGUUGUCGUCAGCUCGUGUCGUGAGAUGUUGGGUUAAGUCCCGCAACGAGCGCAACCCCUACGUUUAGUUGCUAACGCGUGAAGGCGAGCACUCUAGACGAACUGCCGUUGACAAAACGGAGGAAGGUGGGAUGACGUCAAAUCAUCAUGCCCCUUAUGUUCUGGGCUACACACGUGCUACAAUGGCCGGUACAGACGGACGCAAAGCCGCGAGGUGGAGCAAAUCCUAAAAAGCCGGUCUCAGUUCGGAUUGCAGGCUGCAAUUCGCCUGCAUGAAGUCGGAAUCGCUAGUAAUCGCAGGUCAGCAUACUGCGGUGAAUACGUUCCCGGGCCUU
rnacentral:rRNA from 1 species